rnacentral:rRNA from 1 species
ACAUGCAGUCGAGCGGGGGAGGUUGCUUCGGUAACUGACCUAGCGGCGGACGGGUGAGUAAUACUUAGGAAUCUGCCUAUUAAUGGGGGACAACAUCUCGAAAGGGAUGCUAAUACCGCAUACGCCCUACGGGGGAAAGCAGGGGAUCACUUGUGACCUUGCGUUAAUAGAUGAGCCUAAGUCGGAUUAGCUAGUUGGUGGGGUAAAGGCCUACCAAGGCGACGAUCUGUAGCGGGUCUGAGAGGAUGAUCCGCCACACUGGGACUGAGACACGGCCCAGACUCCUACGGGAGGCAGCAGUGGGGAAUAUUGGACAAUGGGGGGAACCCUGAUCCAGCCAUGCCGCGUGUGUGAAGAAGGCCUUAUGGUUGUAAAGCACUUUAAGCGAGGAGGAGGCUCUUUUGGUUAAUACCCAAGAUGAGUGGACGUUACUCGCAGAAUAAGCACCGGCUAACUCUGUGCCAGCAGCCGCGGUAAUACAGAGGGUGCGAGCGUUAAUCGGAUUUACUGGGCGUAAAGCGUGCGUAGGCGGCUUUUUAAGUCGGAUGUGAAAUCCCCGAGCUUAACUUGGGAAUUGCAUUCGAUACUGGGAAGCUAGAGUAUGGGAGAGGAUGGUAGAAUUCCAGGUGU